rnacentral:rRNA from 1 species
CCUACGGGUGGCAGCAGUGAGGAAUAUUGGUCAAUGGGCGCGAGCCUGAACCAGCCAAGUAGCGUGAAGGAUGACUGCCCUACGGGUUGUAAACUUCUUUUAUAAAGGAAUAAAGUGAGGCACGUGUGCCUUUCUGUAAGUACUUUACGAAUAAGGAUCGGCUAACUCCGUGCCAGCAGCCGCGGUAAUACGGAGGAUCCGAGCGUUAUCCGGAUUUAUUGGGUUUAAAGGGAGCGUAGGUGGGUGGUUAAGUCAGUUGUGAAAGUUUGCGGCUCAACCGUGGAAUUGCAAUUGAUACUGGCGGCCUUGAGUACAGUUGAGGUAGGCGGAAUUCGUGGUGUAGCGGUGAAAUGCUUAGAUAUCACGAAGAACUCCGAUUGCGAAGGCAGCUUACUAAACUGCCACUGACGUUGAUGCUCGAAAGUGUGGGUAUCAAACAGGAUUAGAUACCCCAGUAGUC